rnacentral:rRNA from 1 species
UGGGGAAUUUUGGACAAGGGGGGAAACCCUGAUCCAGCCAUCCCGCGUGUGCGAUGAAGGCCUUCGGGUUGUAAAGCACUUUUGGCAGGAAAGAAACGUCAUGGGUUAAUACCCCGUGAAACUGACGGUACCUGCAGAAUAAGCACCGGCUAAUUACGUGCCAGCAGCCGCGGUAAUACGUAGGGUGCAAGCGUUAAUCGGAAUUACUGGGCGUAAAGCGUGCGCAGGCGGUUCGGAAAGAAAGAUGUGAAAUCCCAGAGCUCAACUUUGGAACUGCAUUUUUAACUACCGGGCUAGAGUGUGUCAGAGGGAGGUGGAAUUCCGCGUGUAGCAGUGAAAUGCGUAGAUAUGCGGAGGAACACCGAUGGCGAAGGCAGCCUCCUGGGAUAACACUGACGCUCAUGCACGAAAGCGUGGGGAGCAAACAGG